rnacentral:rRNA from 1 species
UACGUAGGGUGCGAGCGUUGUCCGGAAUUAUUGGGCGUAAAGAGCUUGUAGGUGGUUUGUCGCGUCUGCUGUGAAAAUCCGACGGCUCAACCUCGGACUUGCAGUGGGUACGGGCAGACUAGAUGUGGUAGGGGAGACUGGAAGUUCCUGGUGUAGCGGUGGAAUGACGCAGAUAUCAGGAGGAACGACCGAUGGCGAAGGCAGGUCUCUGGGCCAUUACUGACACUGAGAAGCGGAAAAGCAUGGGGAGCGAACAGG